GAUGAACGCUGGCGGCGUGCCUAAUACAUGCAAGUCGAGCGAAUGGACGAGAAUCUUGCUUCUCUGAUGUUAGCGGCGGACGGGUGAGUAACACGUGGAUAACCUACCUAUAAGACUGGGAUAACUUCGGGAAACCGUAGCUAAUACCGGAUAAUAUUUUGAACCGCAUGGUUCAAAAGUGAAAGACGGUCUUGCUGUCACUUAUAGAUGGAUCCGCGCUGCAUUAGCUAGUUGGUAAGGUAACGGCUUACCAAGGCAACGAUGCAUAGCCGACCUGAGAGGGUGAUCGGCCACACUGGAACUGAGACACGGUCCAGACUCCUACGGGAGGCAGCAGUAGGGAAUCUUCCGCAAUGGGCGAAAGCCUGACGGAGCAACGCCGCGUGAGUAUGAAGGUCUUCGGAUCGUAAAACUCUGUUAUUAGGGAAGAACAUAUGUGUAAGUAACUGUGCACAUCUUGACGGUACCUAAUCAGAAAGCCACGGCUAACUACGUG
rnacentral:rRNA from 1 species